AAACCUGAGAAACCCGAAAGAUCGAAUGGGGAGAUUCAUCGUCAGCGAGCCUUGGCGCGUGUACGGUUCGCGAUGCUCUGGGGACUUCGGUCCCUCGGCACGCGUCCGUAUGGUUCUUUGCCAGGUUUCGUCGGCGUGCACUUCUCCCCUAGUAGGACGUCGCGACCCGUUGGGUGUCGGUUUACGGCCCGGGUGGGUGCCUGUCAUGCGUUUAGCUUAACGGCGACGUGGCAGACCCCCGGUUGUCUGACCAGCUGCUCGGCGGUACUCGCAUGGUAUCGAGCCGCAAAUAUUCGAACUGCGUCCGAACCGCCGCAAGCCUGGCCAGUGUUUCCCGGAUGGACGGAUCUAGCGCCGUCACCGGGCCUGGCCGGCUGUUGGCCGGCGGUUUUCUUGGACAGGCUCUUGGAUACCGGUCGGCGACGCUACUGCUUUGGGUACUUUCAGGACCCGUCUUGAAACACGGACCAAGGAGUCUAACAUGUGCGCGAGUCAUUGGGAGCUUGUUAAGCCCAAAGGCGCAAUGAAAGUGAAGAUCCGGCCUUGCGCCGAUCGAGGGAGGAUGGGCCGCUUAGUUAAGCGGCCCCGCACUCCCGGGGCGUCUCGUUCUCAU
rnacentral:rRNA from 1 species